GCAAGGAGAGGCAGACAGGAGGGUUGCUUUAAAAAGCACAACUGCGCAACUUCGGAUUUAUAUAUGAUAGAGAGCAUUAUAAUAUAAAGACACUAACAUCACAGAAUCGUUAUUUAUUUUGUCUCAUUUUUAAUUUCACUGGAAUAACAAUGUCCUGACAUCUGUGGAAGAAAGGAUAAAAGCGCUGUAUCUUGCUACCCAAAAAACAGGAACAUCACAGACAUUAAAAAUUAAUCCUAAUUGCAUGAAUUAAGAAAAAAAUUAUUUGAAAUGAUGAAAAAAGUUUCAGGGGACAGGACUGUAUAGGAAGACCAGUAUCUAUACAGCCCUCUUCAUCCCAGUCAAAACUUAUCUCUUGACAGACUAACUCUGACUCAUGACAGUAAUUUAAGCAUUUGAAAAACAGCCUGCCAAGGAAAAAAAAAAAAAAUAUAUCUAAAACUAUCUGUCAAAUUACACAUAAUGAGGGAGGAAGCAUAAAUGUGCUUAUAGUGGGAAAUCCCAGCGUGUGUGUGUGUGUGUGUAU